rnacentral:rRNA from 1 species
UACGGAGGUGGCAAGCGUUGCUCGGAAUUACUGGGCGUAAAGCGUGCGCAGGCGGUUGUGCAAGACAGGUGUGAAAUCCCCGGGCUUAACCUGGGAACUGCACUUGUGACUGCACGGCUGGAGUACGGCAGAGGGGGAUGGAAUUCCGCGUGUAGCAGUGAAAUGCGUAGAUAUGCGGAGGAACACCGAUGGCGAAGGCAGUCCCCUGGGCCUGUACUGACGCUCAUGCACGAAAGCGUGGGGAGCAAACAGG